ensembl:lncRNA
CUUAUAAACAAUGAAUUACUGGAAUUUAUGCUCAACGAUGGCGGGACAUUCUAUGAAGUCGUAUGAUGUAUGUCUGUCUCACUGAUUUCGAUGCUUUCUCAGAUGGCGUCCUGGAAGGUCUCCCGCCGGACAAUGUUGAUUCCGUAUGGCUUGAAGAGUUUGCUGGAAUCUCUGUGUCGUGCGAUAAGAACUGAAGACCCACAGCACAUAGAACAGUUUAUCGCUGCGUAUUGCAAGGACCUCCUAGAGCACAGAGACCGUAUUGCAAAUACAGCCACUCCUUCCAGAGACCUUAGACAAGUCAUACAGCUUUACCAGAAAAUGCGAGAGCUUGACCAAGUUAUGAUGAUAAAUUGGCCAAUGCGAGGUUCUCCGGAGUCGGCCCAGGUCUGGAAACCAUCUGGGGAGCCUGCAGAGAUGUAUCAGAGAUGUGUCAGCCUUGUCAGCUGCCACCUUGCUGAUGACGCCUUGACUGUCAGUCAGAGUAUGCCUGUUCAGUCUUCCCUGGCGCAGCCCAAGAGCCCUGAGGACCUUCCCGCAGCUAGGGUUCAAUCAGCAGUCUUCCAGAGGGUUCCAUCAACGAGUGAUUUCACUGAGAUCAAGGGAACUGUUCUGAUUGAUUCUGCAAGGGCACCGCCUGCUGAUGUCAUCGUGGUUCACUCAGAGAACCUUCCGGGCACAAUAGUGUUCCACUGUGAAAGUCGCCCCAGUUCAGCUUCAUCUGUGAGGUCUUGUGGCACCAGGACACCCUCUGUGACUGACACAGAUGGGACAGAGGAGUGUGGUCUUGAGAUGGACUCGGAUGAGAUGGUGGUGUUUGAAAGAGUUCCCUCCAAGGAGGAUUUUCUUCCUCUUCAGUCUUCUGUGGAGGUGGAGUCCGGUAAGCUGCAGAAUUCAGAGAUUGUAGACGAGCCUCGCACCACAGUGGGACAAUAUCAUAGCUCAGAGGAGACGGAGGAGCAACAUGAAACACUGGAAGUGGCAGCCGCCCAAGAGUCAUCCAAGAUAAAGAAGGAGGUAUCAUCGAGACAAAGCCUGGUCAAGGUGUUCUCUGCUCAUAUGGUGAAAACUGAGGAUAGCGUUGAAAAGAUGGAUGACGGAUCAAAGCAAUCAGAUGGAGACAUGACACCCAGCACAUCUUCAGAGACGUCCAUUACAGUGCUUCUAAGGUCAAUGACAGACAAACUUCACCAUCUCAAGGUGUGACUGCUGUGGAUGGAGUCACAUGGCAGGAUCUGCAAACACUUUCACCAGAUGCGUCACAGAGUGUCUCUCCAGACCCCUUGCUUCUAGCAGAGAUGCCACAAACUGUUAUAUCUGUGUCUGAAAGUGUUUCUCCUCUCUACACUGUGGAGAGAGAAGAGACAGCAGCCCAAGAACAAUCUGUUGAAGAAGCUCUCAUUGCCGCUGCUGCUGGAGUAUCAGUAUUACCAGCUGAAUGCUCAGGCACUGACAGAGUUGAAAGUACUGAAACAGCUUAUGUCGUCACAACGGAAAAUACUCCUCACAAGUCAUUAGAUGAAAGUGUGGUUAGUGUGACUCCUGUCCGAAGUCCCAUUCAGAUGAACAUGAAUGAGAUUGCUGAUGCAGAUGAUUUGAAUCUGGUCAAGGAAAUGCCAGAAUCUCUGGCAGAUAACUCUGAACUGUCACCUCUCGCACAAGUACACCCUGAGGAGAUGUUAGGAUUUCCAAGUGAUCAGACAAGCGCUGCUGGUGGGGAGUGUCCAAACACAACAGACACAGGGUUUAUAACAUCUGGCGGUAUACCCUGUCAGGAAGAUAGUUUGACAGAAACAAUGAAGACAACAGAAAUGGGGACAACCUCAAAAGUUUCUUCAGAGACAUCAG